CUAGACAUUCUAACUGUUUCUUUCUUUCUUGCCAACGCAAAUAAACUGUCCCUUGUGACUUGAAGCUGCCAUUACCAACUUCAAGUGAUACUUCUGAUGGCAACGAGUCUAAUCCGAAAGCUCUCUCGGCAAAUUUAACGAUGAGGUAGGCAGCGUAUUGUGUUUUUGGUGAUAUGGUUUUGGUGUUUAUUUUACCAGUUAUUUGUAGCCAACUAAUGGUUCUAAGUUCGGCUACUUCUGUAAAUCUGAAACAAUAAGUGAAUACGUGAGAGUGAGAGUUUAAACAUGAAAUGUUGGCUAUGAUACCAUGUUAAAAAAAUCAUUAAUGGAAAAAAUUAAGCUGAUAGAUGAUGAUCCAGCAUGAGUAUCAAAUUAAAGAUACGUUUCAACAGAGUUGAUGUGAACAUAUAUGCAACCUUGACUGAAGGAAGGGUUUCCAGGUCCAAUAGAGAGGAUUGUUUGCCCACGUAAUUGAAAGUUCUCUUGCACCUAGAAUGUAACGUUUCUUGCUCGUUGAUUUCUCUAAGGAAAAAGUCUGAAAAAUCAUUAAUUAAUGUAAUCACCAUCAAUAAGAUUUGUCAAUAAAUUAAAUAAAUUUCGGCCAUCAAAGUUGAAUUAUAAGGACAAGCAAAAUUUUGAAUGGAAACUUUGACCAUCUUAUAUAUUUUGAAAUUUGAUUUUGAUUGGAUACAUCAACGUUUUCAUUUUCUUGACGAUGCACUUGUUGAUGAUCUCGGCCACCAAGAAUUAUUUUGAGAGAAAAAGUUGAUCCUCGCUAGAAUGCGGCAAUCUCUAAGGCUGAAUUUGAAUCCACAGGUGGUGGAGCAAAUAUGAAUUUCAAUGAAAAUUUCAUAUUUGUUCCACCUCCUGUGCAUUCAGAAUCACACCUUGAAACUGUCACAUUGUCUAUUAUCUAUACAUAAUUCUAAUGUAUUUAUAAAUUAAAUGUGUUUAUGUACUUCAUAAAGUAGAAUCUAAGUUGAAUGUGUUUACCUUUUUACCUUGGUCAAUUAGAACUGGGCUACAUAACCUCAUAAACAGCUCUUUCUUAGAAAAGUACACCAGCGGCAACACUAAUCUUGGGAGAAUUUCC
rnacentral:lncRNA from 1 species